CACAGGGAGUGCAGACGUUAUUCGGAAUGAUUGGGUGUAAAGGAUAUGUAGGCUGCCUUAGAAAGAUACCUGGUGAAAGACUCGGGAAGGUCCCUUAGAUCGACUGGGGUUAACUAAAGGCUAGAGUUUAAGAGAGGUCGGGAGAAUUUCUCGUGUAAGGGUAGAAUCUAAACAGAUUGGAACGACUACCAACAUAGUUGCUAAUGCACCCCUCCAGCUUAAGACUGACGCUGAGAUAUGAAAGUAUAGGGAUCAAACAGG
rnacentral:rRNA from 1 species